GGGGUUAUAGCUCAGUGGUAGAGCGCUCGUUUUGCACGUGAUUUCCUAAAUAGGAUAUCUCGAGAAAAUACGAGAGGUCUGGGGUUCGAUCCCCCAUAACUCCA